AUGAGAAAGUCCAGUCAAAGGCACCCUUGCAGGAGGCGCUGCUUUCUGUCACGGGAUGGUUCAGAGUUGGGGAGGGAGGCCGCAGUUGAACAGCAAACCCUUACUCUGUUUGCUAUUCUCUGGGCCUGGGGCCCGGAACCCAGGGCGAGGGUGAGAAGUUGGGGAGAGGGCGCGCUCCCAGUGCGUGGCUGGGUCGCGCUGCCAGCUGCCUGGUGGCGGCAGGGUGAACCCGGCUACGCGCGCCGGGUGACCAAAGCUCCGCCCCCAGCUCUCGUCUCUCGGUGAUUGACGCGCAGCCGCGGGGAAACAGCAGCGCAGAGAUUAAGCCCAGGACCCCUAGACUCUCCAUGGUGGUCUACACUGUCUGCAGCGCACCGAGGGACUAUGCUCCGAGUUCAGCUGCUCAUAUCUUGUACUAGACAAAAAUGAAUAUUGACAACAAGGGCUCUGCAUCUGCACGAGAAAGAAAGUACCACUUAACAACAACAACAUCAAAAAUCCUAGCCUGGCCGUGGUGCAGUUGGCGGAGCUUGCUGCUCUAGGUUGUAGUGGCAGAGUUCGGGACCUAGUAAUCCGCCGGCAGAGGAAGGGGGCCGCGGAAUUAAAACGAACAAAAGCUAGAGCGCCAUGCCAAACAUCCCCAACGCGACCCAGUUAGGCAGGAGCCAAGAGGAGUGGUGGGGAAAUAAACGAGAAGUAAGUUGAAAAU
rnacentral:lncRNA from 1 species